rnacentral:misc_RNA from 1 species
AGGGAAUUUUGUUAUUUUUAACUAUUUAUGCUAAGCUUCAAAUUUAUUAACCAUUGAACUUGUAUACAUUACAUAUGUUAAAUGUGUUUCUUUUGCGCUCAGUAAGUCUUUCUGUAUACUAAUAAAAUAAUUUUUAAAACAUUGAAUUGCCAUUAAUAUGCAGCGUUUUGCAUAUGAUGUUGUGGUUGUCGGAGGUGGAAUCAUUGGAACUGCUACAGCCAGGGAACUCUUAUUAAGAAAUCCAUCGCUUAAAUUGGCACUUGUUGAAAAGGAAGCAUCUCUUGCUGCACACCAAAGUGGUCACAAUAGUGGUGUUAUGCAUUCUGGCAUCUACUAUACACCUGGAUCUUUGAAAGCAAAGCUUUGUGUAGAAGGCCUAGAACUUGCAUAUAAAUAUUGUUCUGAACACAAUAUUUCUUACAAAAAAUGUGGAAAACUUAUAGUUGCUGUUAAUCAAAGAGAAAUUUCCCGACUUGAAGCACUAUUUAAACGAGCAACUGAAAAUAAAGUAAAAGAUAUCUCUCUCAUUGAUCAAGAUGAAAUUAAGAGACUUGAACCAAACAUUCAUGGUUUAAAGGCAAUAUGGUCUCCUAAUACUGGUAUUGUUGAUUGGGCAGAAGUAAACAAGUCAUUUGCUGAAGAAUGCAAAGUUCGAGGAGCUGAUAUUUAUUUAAAUUUUUGUGUCAAGGGUCUUCAUGUUGUUUCUCCAACUACAAAGACACCUGAACCUUUUGUUUUAGUGCAAAGCAAAACUAAAGAAUUGCUAUGUAAGCAUGUUGUAACCUGCGCUGGCUUGCACUCGGACAAUUUAGCCAUUAUGACAGGGUGUAGUCCAGAGCCCAGAAUAAUCCCUUUCAGGGGAGAGUAUCUUGUUCUAAAACCAGAAAAAUCUAAUCUUGUGAAAACUAAUAUAUACCCUGUUCCACAUCCUGAAUUACCAUUUCUUGGUGUUCAUAUUACUCCUCGUAUUGAUGGUUCAGUUUGGUUGGGACCAAAUGCUGUUCUUGCUUUUGAGAGAGAAGGAUAUAGUGCCAAAGAUUUUAAUGUAGCAGAUACUAUUAAUUAUCUGGGAUACAGAGGCUUUAGAAAGCUAGCUAAGAAACACUUUUUUUAUGGCUUGCAUGAAAUGUAUCGAAGUUCCAAUAUUGCUGCCCAAGUUCGUAUACUUCAACAAUAUCUUCCAAAUUUAAGCAGUUCAGAUGUUGUCAGUUUUAUUUGAAGAGUAUCAACAUUGUUAUCACUGAAGUUCAUUUACUGUGAGUGAGUGAAGAUCUCUGUCCAUGAGUUUAAAUGGCUUAUAACAUGUUCCUAUCAGCUUUGUUGCCAAACUUUUUGCUCCAUGGUACAACCAUCUAAUUUUGGAAUCACAGAUCAUUGGAUUAUCUGAAAGGGAGAAAAAUGAAACAAAAAUUGAAAGCGUUAUCAGACUUUGCAGAAUUCUUCAAGUGGUGUUCCUCUCUUUGCUGCGGGAGCUUGACACUUAGCAGAAACAGCUUCAAUGUUAAUCUGACAAACCCAGAAGAUAUCUGCAUUACAGUUUAUUGGA